UCUCGUUUUUGGAUUCUCUGAUCGAAAACUCACAGGGAGAGGAGGGAUGAAUGAUGCAUGAUCCGGGGUUAGAAAGGAAAGAGCUUCCUCUUCCGUCUUUUGCAUGUCAUCAUCAUCCUCAUCUUUUUCUCUAUU
ensembl:ncRNA ZC518.7 ncRNA